rnacentral:rRNA from 1 species
GACGAACGCUGGCGGCGUGCUUAACACAUGCAAGUCGAACGGUAAGGCCCUUCGGGGUACACGAGUGGCGAACGGGUGAGUAACACGUGGGUGAUCUGCCCUGCACUUCGGGAUAAGCCUGGGAAACUGGGUCUAAUACCGGAUAGGACUCCUGCCUGCAUGGGUGGGGGUGGAAAGCUUCUGCGGUGUGGGAUGGGCCCGCGGCCUAUCAGCUUGUUGGUGGGGUGAUGGCCUACCAAGGCGACGACGGGUAGCCGGCCUGAGAGGGUGACCGGCCACACUGGGACUGAGAUACGGCCCAGACUCCUACGGGAGGCAGCAGUGGGGGAUAUUGCACAAUGGGCGCAAGCCUGAUGCAGCGACGCCGCGUGAGGGAUGACGGCCUUCGGGUUGUAAACCUCUUUCAGCACAGACGAAGCGCAAGUGACGGUAUGUGCAGAAGAAGGACCGGCCAACUACGUGCCAGCCGCCGCAGUAA